rnacentral:rRNA from 1 species
UACGUAGGGUGCGAGCGUUAAUCGGAAUUACUGGGCGUAAAGCGUGCGCAGGCGGUUUUGUAAGCCAGAUGUGAAAUCCCCGGGCUUAACCUGGGAAUGGCAUUUGGGACUGCAAGGCUGGAGUAUGGCAGAGGGGACUGGAAUUCCUGGUGUAGCAGUGAAAUGCGUAGAUAUCAGGAGGAAUACCGAUGGCGAAGGCAGGUCCCUGGGCUGAUACUGACGCUCAUGCACGAAAGCGUGGGGAGCAAACAGG